GACGAACGCUGGCGGCGUGCUUAACACAUGCAAGUCGAACGAUGAAGCAGAGACACGCGCACUUCGGUUCAAAUUUCACUUCGGAUUAGUGGCAGACGGGGGAGUAACGCGUGAGCAACCUACCUCUUACAAAGGGAUAGCCCCGGGAAACCGUGAUUAAUACCAAAUUGCACCUUCAUAAGGCAUCUUAAGAAUGUUAAAGGUACGGCGGUAAGGGAUUGGCGCGCGUCCCAUUAGCUAGUUGGUGAGGUAAAGGCCCACCAAGGCGACGAUGGGUAACCGGCCUGAGAGGGUGAACGGUCACAUUGGAACUGAGACACGGUCCAAACUCCUACGGGAGGCAGCAGUGGGGAAUAUUGCACAAUGGAGGGAACUCUGAUGCAGCGACGCCGCGUGAGCGAUGAAGGAAUUCGUUUCGUAAAGCUCUGUUCUAUGGGAAGAAAAGGACUGUACCAUAGGAGAAAGCCCCGGCUAAAUACGUG
rnacentral:rRNA from 1 species